AGGAUAAGGGGCAGAUCUAUGAGCAGGUGAGCUAGAUAAGGGGCAGAUCUAUAAGCAGGUGAGCUGGAUAAGGGGCAGAUCUAUGAGCAGGUGAGCUGGAUAAGGGGCAGAUCUAUAAGCAGGUGAGCUGGAUAAGGGGCAGAUCUAUGAGCAGGUGAGCUGGAUAAGGGGCAGAUCUAUGAGCAGGUGAGCUGGAUAAGGGGCAGAUCUAUAAGCAGGUGAGCUGGAUAAGGGGCAGAUCUAUAAGCAGGUGAGCUGGAUAAGGGGCAGAUCUAUAAGCAGGUGAGCUGGAUAAGGGGCAGAUCUAUGAGCAGGUGAGCUGGAUAAGGGGCAGAUCUAUGAGCAGGUGAGCUGGAUAAGGGGCAGAUCUAUGAGCAGGUGAGCUGGAUAAGGGGCAGAUCUAUAAGCAGGUGAGCUGGAUAAGGGGCAGAUCUAUGAGCAGGUGAGCUGGAUAAGGGGCAGAUCUAUGAGCAGGUGAGCUGGAUAAGGGGCAGAUCUAUAAGCAGGUGAGCUGGAUAAGGGGCAGAUCUAUGAGCAGGUGAGCUGGAUAAGGGGCAGAUCUAUAAGCAGGUGAGCAGGAUAAGGGGCAGAUCUAUAAGCAGGUGAUCUGGAUAAGGGGCAGAUCUAUAAGCAGGUGAGCUGGAUAAGGGGCAGAUCUAUAAGCAGGUGAGCUGGAUAAGGGGCAGAUCUAUAAGCAGGUGAGCUGGAUAAGGGGCAGAUCUAUAAACAGGUGAGCUGGAUAAGGGGCAGAUCUAUAAGCAGGUGAGCUGGAUAAGGGGCAGAUCUAUAAACAGGUGAGCUGGAUAAGGGGCAGAUCUAUAAGCAGGUGAGCUGGAUAAGGGGCAGAUCUAUAAGCAGGUGAGCUGGAUAAGGGGCAGAUCUAUGAGCAGGUGAGCUGGAUAAGGGGCAGAUCUAUGAGCAGGUGAGCUGGAUAAGGGGCAGAUCUAUAAGCAGGUGAGCUGGAUAAGGGGCAGAUCUAUGAGCAGGUGAGCUGGAUAAGGGGCAGAUCUAUAAGCAGGUGAGCUGGAUAAGGGGCAGAUCUAUGAGCAGGUGAGCUGGAUAAGGGGCAGAUCUAUGAGCAGGUGAGCUGGAUAAGGGGCAGAUCUAUGAGCAGGUGAGCUGGAUAAGGGGCAGAUCUAUAAGCAGGUGAGCUGGAUAAGGGGCAGAUCUAUGAGCAGGUGAGCUGGAUAAGGGGCAGAUCUAUAAGCAGGUGAGCUGGAUAAGGGGCAGAUCUAUGAGCAGGUGAGCUGGAUAAGGGGCAGAUCUAUAAGCAGGUGAGCUGGAUAAGGGGCAGAUCUAUAAGCAGGUGAGCUGGAUAAGGGGCAGAUCUUUAAGCAGGUGAGCUGGAUAAGGGGCAGAUCUUUAAGCAGGUGAGCUGGAUAAGGGGCAGAUCUUUAAGCAGGUGAGCUGGAUAAGGGGCAGAUCUUUAAGCAGGUGAGCUGGAUAAGGGGCAGAUCUUUAAGCAGGUGAGCAGGACAAGGGGCAGAUCUAUGAGCAAGUGAGCUGGAUAAGGGGCAGAUCUAUAAGCAGGUGAGCUGGAUAAGGGGCAGAUCUAUAAGCAGGUGAGCUGGAUAAGGGGCAGAUCUAUAAGCAGGUGAGCUGGAUAAGGGGCAGAUCUAUAAGCAGGUGAGCUGGAUAAGGGGCAGAUCUAUAAGCAGGUGAGCUGGAUAAGGGGCA